UUUUGUGUCAGUGGUGAGCAUGUGUGGACUUCCUUUUCCUGUGGGGGUUCCUCAGAGUGUUGUGUACAACUGUUACACAGCGUUGUGUUGCAGUAGGCAGUGUGAGUGAGAUUGAGAGACUGAAAGACUGCGGCAGAACCCUCACCCUCUUGUUAGGAGACCUGAGCGCCCAUGCAGGUUUGGGUCCUUCCUGGGGGCUCUGGAACAACUGGGGAUGCUGUGUCUGAGCAACGGUGACAUCUAGUGUCCAGAGUUGGGUAUGACUAGAUUUACAAGCUCCCUGAUCUUGGUGCUCAUGGAAACCAUGCCUCCUGUCCCACAGCUGUCCAGAGUCCCUAGGAUUCACAGUUAAGGUUCCAUCCCUGUGUAAUUCCUCAGCCCAUUCCCUCGCAGCCGCAAAGCCAAAAUAAAGCGGAAUGAUCUGAAGUGAAGGCUACCGUGUGUCAAGCAGCAGAGCUGCCAGGACCUAUGUACUCCGCCCUGUUGAGACCCAGGCCAUUAGAUACAAUGCACGUGACCAGUGAUGGCUUUACCUGGGUACGUUCAGGAAGAACCAGUUCCUGGCUCAAGAAAUUUGCUCUCCCUUAGCCACCUGCACUGGGCAGAGACAAAAGAGGAGAGUUACCCGGGUCAAGCUGAGGCCAUUGUUGGGCUCCACCUUUAGCAGAGGCUGCUAUCCACUUCCCUGGUUUGCUUUUCUGUCAGCAACACCACCUUCUACCUCCUCUUGCUCUGAAUCUUACAGGAGUCUUUCCUGCCUCUUAUCUAAUGGACCAAUAACCAAGCCCCGUCAGCUUGUCUCACAUCUGUCCCCUCCUCUCCCUGUUCCCUCUACUUUUUACCUAGGCCUGUUUCUUCUCCCAGGUGCUAGUGAGGAAGAGGCUGAAGAGACCCACACACAAACUGUUCACUCUACAAAGGAUGUCUAUUACUAGUAAGCAUAUAAGGUCAAGGGGCUAGGCAGCAGGAGAGACUGGCAAUUCCUGAGAUCAGACGGCCUCCACCUGCAGCUGGGGAUGUGGCUCAAUGGUAAAGCAUUUGUCUAGCAUAUUUGAAGCCUUGGGUUCGAUGUCCAGCACCAGAAAGAGAGAGAGAGAGAAAGAAAGAGAAAACCAGCUAGAUUACAAAUAUCAGACAACAAAAACCUGUGAGAUGGGCUGAGAAUAGAAUAGAGAAAUCUUGGUAGGAAAAUCACAGUGUAUUCCCACAGUCCGUUGCGCUGCUGACUUGGUGCAGGGCUGGGUCAGAUCGCAUCCAUUUGGGUGGUCACCUGGAACAGAGAGCCACAGGAUCUUGUCAGAACACUGGGCUUUCUGAGAAAGUCAACAGGGGUCUCCAGUAUGAGAUCCCCAUAUAUACCAACGCAUCUUCAGUAUUAGCUUAGUUGGUAGACGCAGACUUGCCUGGAGCCAAGUGACAAUCCACAAGGACAAUGUUCCAGGGUUACAGGAAUGGGGCCAGCAAAACCCAGGGCCAUCACAAGCUGAAGAGGCAGAACUAACGCCAAAAAAUCUUGAAUCUGAAGAAACUGAACAUUUUAAUCCUCUGGGGCUCCUGAGUAGGGAGCUGAAUAAUCAGAAAGGCUUAAAUUAAAACCCUGGGCUGAGCUGGCCUGUGGUGGCGUGUGCCAUUAGCCCCAGCACUUGGUAUGCAGGCAGAUCUCUGAAUGCAAGGCCAGCCUGGGCUACCAAAGGAGUUCCAGGACUACACAGAGAAACCCUGUCUCAAAAGCCAAACCUGCCCUUAUGAAGCAGGACAGCUGGGUGUGUAGGUACUACUGACAUACAAGGCCAUUUCACAUGUUACAGACCUCUGCCACGCCUGUUAGACUCCUACAACAAUGGAAACCCUUCUGCUUAUGAAGAAGGAAACCGGAGAGCCAGCUCAGUGGUUAAGAGCAUUGGCUGCUCUUCCAGAGGACAGAAUUCUCAGGUUCAAUUCAAAGCACCCAUAUGGCCCCUCACAGCUGUCCUGUAAUUCCAGGUCCAAGGCAUCUAGUGGCCUCUUCUGGUCUUGGGCACCAAGUACACACAUGGUGAACAGACACACAUGCUGGGAAAUAUUAUUCACAUAAAAUAAUUUUUACAAAAGAAAAUGGAAGUCUGGCUUGGCUCAUGUCAGAGUCACUUUCCUGUUCAAUUUCGUUUCUCAUGGAGUAGAACGACUUAAUGUUCAUCAUUUGUAGGAGGAAUAUAAUUUCAGUGAGGGGAGUCUACCUGACGACCCUGUUCAAGAAGAUAAAUAUGCAUGGGCUGGGACGAUGGCUCAGCGUUACCUUGCAAACCUGACAACCUCAAUUAGGCAAGAACUCAUAUAUAAAACGACAAGUAUAACCAGGCAGUGGUGUAACAUGCCAUUAACCCCAGCACGGAUCUCUGAAUUUGAGGGCAGCCUGGUCUACAGAGCAAGUUCCAGGACAGCCAGGGCUACACAGAGAAGCCCUGUCUCAAAAAAGUAAAUAAAUAAAAAAUAAAAAUAAAAAGGCUAGUAUAGAGUUACUUACACUUGUGAUUCCAGUGCCAGAGAAACAAGCAGGCAGCCAGGCUAGCCAAAUUAGUGAUCCUGGGGCCAGAGAAAGGCCCUGUGUUCAAGAGCACUUUCUGUUGGUAUGGAAAAGUACUCUAACAAAAGCCAAUUAGGAGGAAAAGUUGAUUUUAGAGCACAGUUCCAUCACCUCAGGGAAGUGAAACAGCCAGCUACGUCACCGUCAGGAGCAGAAAGAAGUGAAUGCAUUCUUCUCUACUACCCAGCUUACUCGACCCUUACACAAUUCACAGCCCAACCAGGGUGCCACCCUUAAACAGUUAAAGAAGACAGUAGCCCUCCGGCUGGCCUGGUCCAGACAAUCUCACCAAAACUCUCCCAGGUCAGUCUCAAGUGUGUCAGCUGACAAAUGUGACCAUAUCCCAUCUCAAAAACUGGAUCAGUGAGGGGCUGGAGACAUGGCUCAGUGGCUAAGAGCGCUGAUUGCUCUCCCAGAGGACUCAGGUUCAAUCUCCAGCACCCACAUGGCAGCUCACAACUGUCUGUAACUCCAGUUCCAGGAGAUGUGACACCCUCACACAGACAUACAGGCAUGCAAAACACCGGUGCAAAUAAAAUUUAAAAGUAAACAC
rnacentral:lncRNA from 1 species